AUUGGUGCUUGCAUCAUGAUUUACAUUUGAGUGAGUGGCGAACUGGUGAGUAACACGUGGGAAACCUGCCCAGAAGCGGGGGAUAACACCUGGAAACAGAUGCUAAUACCGCAUAACAACUUGGACCGCAUGGUCCGAGUUGAAAGAUGGCUUCGGCUAUCACUUUUGGAUGGUCCCGCGGCGUAUUAGCUAGAUGGUGGGUAACGGCUCACCAUGGCAAUGAUACGUAGCCGACCUGAGAGGGUAAUCGGCCACAUUGGGACUGAGACACGGCCCAAACUCCUACGGGAGGCAGCAGUAGGGAAUCUUCCACAAUGGACGAAAGUCUGAUGGAGCAACGCCGCGUGAGUGAAGAAGGGUUUCGGCUCGUAAAACUCUGUUGUUAAAGAAGAACAUAUCUGAGAGUAACUGUUCAGGUAUUGACGGUAUUUAACCAGAAAGCCACGGCUAACUACGUGCCAGCAGCCGCGGUAAUACGUAGGUGGCAAGCGUUGUCCGGAUUUAUUGGGCGUAAAGCGAGCGCAGGCGGUUUUUUAAGUCUGAUGUGAAAGCCUUCGGCUCAACCGAAGAAGUGCAUCGGAAACUGGGAAACUUGAGUGCAGAAGAGGACAGUGGAACUCCAUGUGUAGCGGUGAAAUGCGUAGAUAUAUGGAAGAACACCAGUGGCGAAGGCGGCUGUCUGGUCUGUAACUGACGCUGAGGCUCGAAAGUAUGGGUAGCAAACAGGAUUAGAUACCCUGGUAGUCCAUACCGUAAACGAUGAAUGCUAAGUGUUGGAGGGUUUCCGCCCUUCAGUGCUGCAGCUAACGCAUUAAGCAUUCCGCCUGGGGAGUACGGCCGCAAGGCUGAAACUCAAAGGAAUUGACGGGGGCCCGCACAAGCGGUGGAGCAUGUGGUUUAAUUCGAAGCUACGCGAAUAACCUUACCAGGUCUUGACAUACUAUGGCAU
rnacentral:rRNA from 1 species